rnacentral:rRNA from 1 species
AACGUAGGAGCCAAGCGUUAUCCGAAUUCACUGGGCGUAAAGCGCGUGUAGGCGGUACGGAAAGUUGGAUGUGAAAGCUCCUGGCUCAACUGGGAGAGGACGUUCAAAACUUCCGAACUAGAGGGCGACAGAGGGAGGUGGAAUUCCCGGUGUAGUGGUGAAAUGCGUAGAUAUCGGGAGGAACACCAGAGGCGAAGGCGGCCUCCUGGGUCGCACCUGACGCUCAGAUGCGAAAGCUAGGGGAGCGAACGGG